rnacentral:rRNA from 1 species
CAUGGCUCAGGACGAACGCUGGCGGCGUGCCUAAUACAUGCAAGUCGAGCGAAUCUUCAGGAGCUUGCUCCUGAAGGUUAGCGGCGGACGGGUGAGUAACACGUGGGCAACCUGCCUGUAAGACUGGGAUAACUUCGGGAAACCGGAGCUAAUACCGGAUAAUCCUUUCCCUCUCAUGAGGGAAAGCUGAAGGUCGGCUUCGGCUGACACUUACAGAUGGGCCCGCGGCGCAUUAGCUAGUUGGUGAGGUAACGGCUCACCAAGGCAACGAUGCGUAGCCGACCUGAGAGGGUGAUCGGCCACACUGGGACUGAGACACGGCCCAGACUCCUACGGGAGGCAGCAGUAGGGAAUCUUCCGCAAUGGACGAAAGUCUGACGGAGCAACGCCGCGUGAGCGAUGAAGGCCUUCGGGUCGUAAAGCUCUGUUGUUAGGGAAGAACAAGUAUCGGAGUAACUGCCGGUACCUUGACGGUACCUAACCAGAAAGCCACGGCUAACUACGUGCCAGCAGCCGCGGUAAUACGUAGGUGGCAAGCGUUGUCCGGAAUUAUUGGGCGUAAAGCGCGCGCAGGCGGUCCUUUAAGUCUGAUGUGAAAGCCCACGGCUCAACCGUGGAGGGUCAUUGGAAACUGGGGGGACUUGAGUGCAGAAGAGGAAAGCGGAAUUCCACGUGUAGCGGUGAAAUGCGUAGAGAUGUGGAGGAACACCAGUGGUGAAGGCGGCUUUCUGGUCUGUAACUGACGCUGUGGCGCGAAAGCGUGGGGGGAGCAAAC